ACGCUGGCGGCGUGCCUAACACAUGCAAGUCGAACGGAGUUGCCCUUCGGGACAACUUAGUGGCGAACGGGUGAGUAACGCGUGAGAAACCUGCCUUUCAGUGGGGGACAACAGUUGGAAACGACUGCUAAAUACCGCAUAACAUUAUUCGGGGGGCAUCCCCUGAAUAUCAAAGCUUUUAUGUGCUGAAAGAUGGUCUCGCGUCUGAUUAGCUAGAUGGCGGGGUAACGGCCCACCAUGGCGACGAUCAGUAGCCGGUCUGAGAGGAUGAACGGCCACAUUGGGACUGAGAUACGGCCCAGACUCCUACGGGAGGCAGCAGUGGGGAAUAUUGGGCAAUGGGGGAAACCCUGACCCAGCAACGCCGCGUGAAGGAAGAAGGCCUUCGGGUUGUAAACUUCUUUUAGUAGGGACGAAUACGUGACGGUACCUACAGAAAAAGCAACGGCUAACUACGUG
rnacentral:rRNA from 1 species